UACGUAGGUGGCAAGCGUUGUCCGGAAUUAUUGGGCGUAAAGCGUGCGCAGGCGGUUCGUUAUGUCCGAUGUGAAAGCCCCGAGCUCAACUUGGGAAUGGCAUUGGAAACUGGCGGGCUGGAGUGUGGCAGAGGGGGGGUGGAAUUCCACGUGUAGCAGUGAAAUGCGUAGAGAUGUGGAGGAACACCGAUGGCGAAGGCAGCCCCCUGGGCCAACACUGACGCCUCAGGCACGAAAGCGUGGGGAGCAAACAGG
rnacentral:rRNA from 1 species